AAUUCAUGCAAUACUUGGGGAGCAAAUAUCAGCAGAAGAUGAAGAGGAAGUUUUGGCAGAGUUUGAGAACUUGGAAACCCAGGUACACGAAUUUUCAUUUUUUAUGAUUUUGUAUUGACUUAUAGUUGUUCCAAUAUAAUCCCAUUCAUAUUGUUCCAUUUGUAUUAUAAUUUCUGAACGUAUAUCCGACCAAGCUGGAAUUUACAUAUUUAGAUGUCAAAUAGAAAAAUCAAAUGUAUCAUUAACCAUAUUUAAUCACCUCAUCUAAAAUCUUCUGCUCAUCUCACAUUUAUGUGUUAUUUUCUUGGUUAAUUUAUAUGCAGAUAAGAUGAGCAAUAUUUUGGCAGAUUUGAUAAUCACGGAUUUGGGAUGUUUAUUAGCAGUCUGAGGUGCAGCCGCAUCAGCAGUAGCACCUGAAUACCGUAAAAAGAAGGUACUGAUUUCUAUGAUUUUGGUUUAGGAAUUUAAUCUUGAUUAACUAAUAAGUGCCGAAAUUUGCCAUGGUUGUCAUUACAACAUUGACUUAACAC
rnacentral:lncRNA from 1 species